UUAAUUCAAAUUGAUAUGGAGUUAAAACGAUCGCGUACGUUUGCCGCUAGGGGCGCUGUUCCAACUAUAUACAAAUUUGAGUUA
rnacentral:pre_miRNA from 1 species